GACGAACGCUGGCGGCGUGCUUAACACAUGCAAGUCGAACGGAAAGGCCCUUCGGGGUACUCGAGUGGCGAACGGGUGAGUAACACGUGGGCAAUCUGCCCUGCACACCGGGAUAAGCCUGGGAAACUGGGUCUAAUACCGGAUAGGACCACUUGGCGCAUGCCUUGUGGUGGAAAGCUUUUGCGGUGUGGGAUGGGCCCGCGGCCUAUCAGCUUGUUGGUGGGGUGACGGCCUACCAAGGCGACGACGGGUAGCCGGCCUGAGAGGGUGUCCGGCCACACUGGGACUGAGAUACGGCCCAGACUCCUACGGGAGGCAGCAGUGGGGAAUAUUGCACAAUGGGCGCAAGCCUGAUGCAGCGACGCCGCGUGGGGGAUGACGGCCUUCGGGUUGUAAACCUCUUUCACCAUCGACGAAGGUCCGGGUUUUCUCGGAUUGACGGUAGGUGGAGAAGAAGCACCGGCCAACUACGUGCCAGCAGCCGCGGUAAUACGUAGGGUGCGAGCGUUGUCCGGAAUUACUGGGCGUAAAGAGCUCGUAGGUGGUUUGUCGCGUUGUUCGUGAAAUCUCACGGCUUAACUGUGAGCGUGCGGGCGAUACGGGCAGACUAGAGUACUGCAGGGGAGACUGGAAUUCCUGGUGUAGCGGUGGAAUGCGCAGAUAUCAGGAGGAACACCGGUGGCGAAGGCGGGUCUCUGGGCAGUAACUGACGCUGAGGAGCGAAAGCGUGGGGAGCGAACAGGAUUAGAUACCCUGGUAGUCCACGCCGUAAACGGUGGGUACUAGGUGUGGGUUUCCUUCCUUGGGAUCCGUGCCGUAGCUAACGCAUUAAGUACCCCGCCUGGGGAGUACGGCCGCAAGGCUAAAACUCAAAGGAAUUGACGGGGGCCCGCACAAGCGGCGGAGCAUGUGGAUUAAUUCGAUGCAACGCGAAGAACCUUACCUGGGUUUGACAUGCACAGGACGCGUCUAGAGAUAGGCGUUCCCUUGUGGCCUGUGUGCAGGUGGUGCAUGGCUGUCGUCAGCUAGUGUCGUGAGAUGUUGGGUUAAGUCCCGCAACGAGCGCAACCCUUGUCUCAUGUUGCCAGCGGGUAAUGCCGGGGACUCGUGAGAGACUGCCGGGGUCAACUCGGAGGAAGGUGGGGAUGACGUCAAGUCAUCAUGCCCCUUAUGUCCAGGGCUUCACACAUGCUACAAUGGCCGGUACAAAGGGCUGCGAUGCCGCGAGGUUAAGCGAAUCCUUUUAAAGCCGGUCUCAGUUCGGAUCGGGGUCUGCAACUCGACCCCGUGAAGUCGGAGUCGCUAGUAAUCGCAGAUCAGCAACGCUGCGGUGAAUACGUUCCCGGGCCUUGUACACACCGCCCGUCACGUCAUGAAAGUCGGUAACACCCGAAGCCAGUGGCCUAACCCUCGGGAGGGAGCUGUCGAAGGUGGGAUCGGCGAUUGGGACGAAGUCGUAACAAGGUAACCGUAA
rnacentral:rRNA from 1 species